rnacentral:rRNA from 1 species
CCUACGGGAGGCAGCAGUGGGGAAUCUUCGGCAAUGGGCGCAAGCCUGACCCAGCAACGCCGCGUGAAGGAAGAAGGCUCUCGGGUUGUAAACCUCUUUUAUCAGGGACGAAGCAAGUGACGGUACCUGAUGAAUAAGCCACGGCUAACUACGUGCCAGCAGCCGCGGUAAUACGUAGGAGGCAAGCGUGAUCCGGAUUUACUGGGUGUAAAGGGAGUGUAGGCGGGAGAGCAAGUCAGAUGUGAAAACCACCGGCUCAACCGGUGGCCGUCAUGUGAAACUGUGUGUCUUGAGUACAGGAGAGGCGGACGGAAUUCCUGGUGUAGCGGUGAAAUGCGUAGAUAUAAGGAGGAACACCAGUGGCGAAGGCGGUCUGCUGGACAGCAACUGACGCUGAGGCGCGAAAGCGUGGGGAGCAAACAGGAUUAGAUACCCGAGUAGUC